UCGAUUCCCUUAGUAGCGGCGAGCGAAACGGGAAGAGCCCAAACCAACAAGCUUGCUUGUUGGGGUUGUAGGACACUCUAUACGGAGUUACAAAGGACGACAUUAGACGAAUCAUCUGGAAAGAUGAAUCAAAGAAGGUAAUAAUCCUGUAGUCGAAAAUGUUGUCUCUCUUGAGUGGAUCCUGAGUACGACGGAGCACGUGAAAUUCCGUCGGAAUCUGGGAGGACCAUCUCCUAAGGCUAAAUACUCUCUAGUGACCGAUAGUGAACCAGUACCGUGAGGGAAAGGUGAAAAGCACCCCGGAAGGGGAGUGAAAUAGAACCUGAAACCGUGUGCUUACAAGUAGUCAGAGCCCGUUAAUGGGUGAUGGCGUGCCUUUUGUAGAAUGAACCGGCGAGUUACGAUUUGAUGCAAGGUUAAGCAGUAAAUGUGGAGCCGUAGCGAAAGCGAGUCUGAAUAGGGCGUUUAGUAUUUGGUCGUAGACCCGAAACCAGGUGAUCUACCCUUGGUCAGGUUGAAGUUCAGGUAACACUGAAUGGAGGACCGAACCGACUUACGUUGAAAAGUGAGCGGAUGAACUGAGGGUAGCGGAGAAAUUCCAAUCGAACCUGGAGAUAGCUGGUUCUCUCCGAAAUAGCUUUAGGGCUAGCCUCAAGUGAUGAUUAUUGGAGGUAGAGCACUGUUUGGACGAGGGGCCCCUCUCGGGUUACCGAAUUCAGACAAACUCCGAAUGCCAAUUAAUUUAACUUGGGAGUCAGAACAUGGGUGAUAAGGUCCGUGUUCGAAAGGGAAACAGCCCAGACCACCAGCUAAGGUCCCAAAAUAUAUGUUAAGUGGAAAAGGAUGUGGCGUUGCCCAGACAACUAGGAUGUUGGCUUAGAAGCAGCCAUCAUUUAAAGAGUGCGUAAUAGCUCACUAGUCGAGUGACACUGCGCCGAAAAUGUACCGGGGCUAAACAUAUUACCGAAGCUGUGGAUUGUCCUUUGGACAAUGGUAGGAGAGCGUUCUAAGGGCGUUGAAGCAUGAUCGUAAGGACAUGUGGAGCGCUUAGAAGUGAGAAUGCCGGUGUGAGUAGCGAAAGACGGGUGAGAAUCCCGUCCACCGAUUGACUAAGGUUUCCAGAGGAAGGCUCGUCCGCUCUGGGUUAGUCGGGUCCUAAGCUGAGGCCGACAGGCGUAGGCGAUGGAUAACAGGUUGAUAUUCCUGUACCACCUAUAAUCGUUUUAAUCGAUGGGGGGACGCAGUAGGAUAGGCGAAGCGUGCG
rnacentral:rRNA from 1 species